CACCGCGGUUAUACGGGCGGCCCAAGUUGAUAAUCCACGGCACAAAGCGUGGUUAGGGGUGAAAUAAACUAAAGUCAAAAGCUUGCAAGGCUGUCUAAAGCAUUUGGAAGAAUGAAGCCCACAUACGAAAGUUACUUUAACAAUCCUGAACCCACGAAAGCUAAGACA
rnacentral:rRNA from 1 species